AUUGAUGGUCUUAAAAUAAUACUAUACACCAAUACAUGUCAGAAAAAAGUCUUUCAUAUUUAUACAAAAUUGUUUACAAACAUUACUAUCACUAUAAGCACAAAGUUCUGCUAUGAAAAGACAAGAUACAUAUUUGUCUACAUAUACAAUGUAUUCUGGCAUGACCUUCAUAUUCUGAUUAAGGUGUACUAAGUUGAAUGCAGUAACAGUUCAGAUUUGUUGCAUUUAAUAGUUUGUCAAUUUAGCAUACAAAACCUCUUACACUUUCAUGGGCUUGCAAUAACUUCUAGUACAGGUCUAGGAGUCUCCCAAAGUCACAAUCCCAAGUUAUUAGCAGCACGCUGCCUUUUUAAAAAGCAGUAUUUUAAAUUAAGAAAGUUUUUAAAUGGAGAGCAGUUUGUAGUAUUUCAUUAUUGCCUCUUCAAAAAUUCCCAGGUGCUAAUAGUAGGUUGGUCUAGGAUGGACUGUCCAUUUAAAUCUUUAAAAUACAAGCGAAGGGAGCAGGUUAACAUGGCAACACUAACGACUUCUCCAAUUUCAAAACAAGAAACACCAGCAAAACAAUUAAGUAGAGUACAUGGAUACCGACCACUAUUCCUAAGGGCCUAUUUUUUCCCCCCAAAUGAAACAUUUGUUACAACAUCAAAAAAUCCAUUUAAAAAAAAAUCUAUACCUAUUUGCAAGUUCCGAACUUGAAAACUAAAACCCUGGCAAAUUUCUGCCUGUAUCUGUGACAUUAACUAAAUAUGAUUUAGCAUAUUAGUCUGAAUUUAAAAGAGGGGGGAGGGGAGGGAAAGUGACAACUUCCAACGUGUAAGGCUUGUUAAAUGUCACCCCCUCUCCACCCAAUCAUGUGUGAAUAAGCCGGUGGACUCCAUUCAACAACUGCUGCUGGACUGGAGGUGAUCAAAGUUUUCCCCAUACUGCACUUUGAGAAUAUUACACCCAGGAAAAGGAACAGAAACUGUUCCUGACACUGGAGCUAGUGCCCCGGAAUUUCCCAAAAUAUGCUCGAUCUCCAAACGAAGAAGGGACACUUCGGAGACCAAAGGUGUUUUGCAUGCAAGAAUGUCUGUGCAUCCGCUGGUGCCCGUGGAGAUCUGAAG
rnacentral:lncRNA from 1 species